rnacentral:rRNA from 1 species
AUACGGCCCAAACUCCUACGGGAGGCAGCAGUAAGGAAUUUUCGGCAAUGGAGGAAACUCUGACCGAGCAACGCCGCGUGAACGAUGAAAUAUUUAGGUAUGUAAAGUUCUUUUAUUAAAGAAGAAAAAAUGAUGGAAAAAUCAUUCUGACGGUAUUUAAUGAAUAAGCCCCGGCUAACUAUGUGCCAGCAGCUGCGGUAAUACAUGGGGGGCAAGCGUUAUCCGGAUUUAUUGGGCGUAAAGGGUGUGUAGGCGGUUUAAUAAGUCUAUGGUAUAAGUUCAACGCUUAACGUUGUGAUGCUAUGGAAACUGUUUGACUAGAGUUGGAUAGAGGCAAGUGGAAUUCCAUGUGUAGCGGUAAAAUGCGUAAAUAUAUGGAGGAACACCAGUAGCGAAGGCGGCUUGCUGGGUCUUAACUGACGCUGAGGCACGAAAGCGUGGGGAGCAAACAGGAUUAGAUACCCUGGUAGUCCACGCCGUAAACGAUGAGUACUAAGUGUUGGGUUAAACCAGUGCUGAAGUUAACACAUUAAGUACUCCGCCUGAGUAGUACGUACGCAAGUAUGAAACUUAAAGGAAUUGACGGGACUCCGCACAAGCGGUGGAUCAUGUUGUUUAAUUCGAAGAUACACGAAAAACCUUACCAGGUCUUGACAUACUCUGCAAAGCUAUAGAAAUAUAGUGGAGGUUAUCAGGGAUACAGGUGGUGCAUGGUUGUCGUCAGCUCGUGUCGUGAGAUGUUGGGUUAAGUCCCGCAACGAGCGCAACCCUUAUCGCUAGUUACCAUCAUUUAGUUGGGCACUUUAGUGAGACUGCCAAUGAUAAAUUGGAGGAAGGUGGGGAUUACGUCAAAUCAUCAUGCCCCUUAUGACCUGGGCUACAAACGUGAUACAAUGGCUGUUACAAAGAGUAGCUGAAGCGUGAGUUUUUAGCAAAUCUCAAAAAAACAGUCUCAGUUCGGAUUGAAGUCUGCAACUCGACUUCAUGAAGUCGGAAUCGCUAGUAAUCGCGAAUCAGCAUGUCGUGGUGAAUACGUUCUCGGGGUUUGUACACACCGCCCGUCAAACCAUGAAAGUUGACAAUACUCGAAACCAGUAGCCUAACUUGCAAAAGAGGGAACUGUCUAAGGUAGGGUCGAUGAUUGGGGUUAAGUCGUAACAAGGUAUCCCUACCGGAAGGUGGGGAUGGAUCACCUCCUUUCUAAGGAAAAUAUCAUCUUCAGUUGUGAAAGACUUAAAAAAGUUUUUUAUUUUUUAAGAUAAAAAUAAAUAAUGGUUCGGGGCCUAUAGCUCAGUUGGUUAGAGCACACGCCUGAUAAGCGUGAGGUCGAUGGUUCGAGUCCAUUUAGGCCCACCAAAGUAUUUAUCUUAAGAAAACAAGCUCUUUGAAAAGUAGAUAAAUUAAGGU